ACGUGGUCUAUGCUGAUCCAUACCCAUAUAUAAUCUCAAAUGGACUGCCCAGAUUAAACGGUUCUAUAUUCUCCAAUGGUCCAGAUCAAGCCACCAUAAUUUCUAUUUUUAAUUAAAUUUUUGGAUAAUACAAACUUCCAAAAAUCAUUACAAAUAGUCUAAACGAUGCUCCGAAAAAUCUAACGAACUGGUAACGACUUCUAGUUUAAUCUUAUGGACUCGAAAGGAAAUUUUCGACAAACUAAAAAUUGAAAUAAUUUUCAAAAGCUACAAAAAAUUUAAAAAAUAAUAGAAAUUAAAAUAAAAAUAGCUCGUAAAUAAUAUUCUUUUUAAAAAUAGAAAUCUAAAAUUCCAGGUUGUUACACAUUGCUCCAUCACCGCCCAGAUCGAGGCUACUCUGCAUCGGUUUUCGGAUCCCCAAAAUCGCAAAUCCUUAAGGCGCGCUUUUCUCAGUCGGGCUCGGCCUGUAUCACUACGAGUUGACCACUAUGAAAGCACAACGAUACUAACCUCAUUUUGGAGAGCCUUGAAGCCCCAAUCUUCAAGGCCAGCUGAAGGGAGGCUUUGGCGUGUGGUCCUUGCGAAGAGGAAACUGGGCAGAAUUGUCAUCAAACAUACAUGACGUUGGCUUUCUUCAAGAUGAAGGCGAGAGGUAGAACUAGAAACCCUGCUUGGUAUGGGCGCUGUGUGCCAUUGAUAGUGUCCCAAACCAUAGAGUCGGCUAGGGUUUGCUAAGUUUGGAGAGAGAGGCGGAGACCCAUUAUUCUUUAUGAUUAGAACACAUGUUUUAAUGCAAUUGAUUUAUUAGAACGGCUUCCUUUGACUGAACAAAUAGUUGGAUGCAGAUAGAUGGUUGGUAUUGAUGGUUAUUUCAUUGAAAUUGUGGAUCAGGCCACUAUUUGGGCUUCUAAUUAGAUCUUUGGCUUUCUAGGUGACUAAUGGGCUGAGGCUGCUAGGUUUUGUGCAAGUUGCAUGGGAAUUAUAAUGAAUGGAAAAAGGGCCAAUUACAUAAAAGUCCACUUGGAGACAUUUUCUCCCAUAUAGGUCAACCCCAACAUUUUUACCCACAUAAGUCCACCCAAGCCUAAAUACAGUCUUAUAUUAGGUAUUAAAGUUCAACAAAAUUACAGACUGCCAUCCAACCAAAAAAUUAGAAUUUCUCUUAUAUUUACAAAAAUGCCACUAAUGUAAAAAGUCAACAACCACAAAUAGUCUCCGAUUGACCUCCGGCGAGGUCUCCGGCCGACCUCCGACAAACUUUCCUGCCAACCUCCGGUAAACUUUCCGGCCGACCAUCUGUGAGGAUUCUAGUGACCACAAAACCUACUACCACUGACAACAAAAGAUACUACUACCGACAAAGAAAGCUACUACCACUGACAACAAAAGAUACUACCGAUAGCAAAAAGAACUACUGCCACCAGCAAAGAAAGCUACUACCAAUAGCAACAAAAGUUACUACCACCAGUAAAGAAAGCUACUACCACUGACAACAAAAUAUACUAUCGAUAGCAAAAAAAACUACUGCCAUCAGCAAAGAAAGCUACUACCGAUAGCAACAAAAGCUACUACCCAUGGCAAAGAAAACUACUACCACUGACAACAAAAGAUACUACCGAUAGCUAAAAAAGCUACUGCCACUAGCAAAGAAAGCUACUACUGAUAGCAACAAAAGGUACUACCGAUAGCAACAAAAGGUACUACCGAUAGCAACAAAAGGUACUACCGAUAGCAACAAAAGUUACUACCGCCACCAACAAAAAAUACUAUUGUCAGCAACAAAAAAAUACCACCGCCAGCAGCCAGAGAUACUACUGCCACCAACAUAAGAUACUACCACAACCAAUAAAAGAUACUAUCGCCACCAACAAAAACUACUACCACCAGCAACAAAAUCUACUCAUAUGAGAUUGAGAAAAAUACUAGCAUAGAAGUUGAAAACGCUUUGAUUGUAUAUACAAAAUAUUAUUAUCGUGUUGAAAAGAUACUAGUACAGAUAUUAAAAAAUACUAAAAUUAUGUAACUUUUUACAAUGAUAUAAUUAUGUAUAAAACUACUUCUGUACUUUAAAAAAGCUACCGUUAUAGUUUAGAAAGUCUACUGCAAUAGUUCUAUAAAGCUACUUCCGUGGUUUUGCCAUUCUCGAUUAGCACGCGACUUUAUUUCAAAUAUUUCUUGGUUAGUCAAAUGAUCUCUUGGUUAAGAGAGGCUUCAAUAUCCAAAUUCACAUGAGAUUUCUGCAAGAACAAAUGCACAAUAAAAUAUUAGUAUUUGAAAUGAAAACUAAAAACAAAUGAAAAUAAAAGUUACUGACAUCAUGAUGAAAAAAUACUAAUAUAGACAUAGAAAGAUACUAUCAAUAUUUUG
rnacentral:lncRNA from 1 species